AGUAAGAUAAUUGGGUCAAAUGGUGGUUCCAUUUCCAGUUUUCUGAGGAAUCUCCAUACUACUUUCCAGAGUGGUUGCACCAUUUUUGCAGUCCCACUAACAAU
rnacentral:pre_miRNA from 1 species